GCCUGCUUCUCGCCCCACGCCCACCCCACCCGCCAAACAAACCCUAGCGCCCUUUCUCCUUCCCCUCCAUCCCGACGAGCCGCCACACCCCUCCCUCCCUCAUCCUCUCCUCACCUGCAGCCGCCGGCCUUGUCUCUCCACUCGCCUCCUCUCCUCUACCACGUCGUCAUCGAUCCACCGCCGGCCUUCUCCUCUGCUUACCUCCUCCUGUUCUCUUCCAUGUCGCCGUCGAUCCAGAUCGGCCGUAUCGUCAUGGGGGAGCAGCGCCGGCAGGGUCUUCGCGGUGCGGAUGGGGGGUAGAUGUGACAACAAGGGGAAGGAGGAGGCCGGUGAGGAAGGCAAGCAAUAGCGGGUGGGGCUAAGGGGCAGGGUGAGGCCUCGCGCACCUGCUGGCGGCCGACGGAUUGACUUGUCGCGCCACCACGUCGUCGCCUCCUCUGCGCCAUGAGGUGCCACCUCUGCCUCCACCCCCCACCGGGAAAGGAGCUCGAGGUGAACAGGCAGUGUGGGAAGGCGAGAGGAAGCAUGAGCUCAUCUCUCCUCCAAUGGAUGUCUCGUGCAUCUGGAGUACAAGGAGAACAACACGUGCCUGUUGGAGGUGGCUCGAGCGAUGCAGGCCAGUGGCGAACUAGAUCUGACAUAGAAGACCACAUUCCUCAGGGAUCCCAAAAUAUAUUAGACAAUAUGGUAGUCCAAUGCUGUUUUGAAGUAUAUAUUGGCACUAUGCUGAAAAAGGACAUGACAGGAAGUGAAGACGGCCAGUCAUCGCGCCAUAUUCCCGUGAGCUCCAUUCAUAUUACUAUAUGCUUAAAACGUCGUGCUCUCCUUAUCUACAUCAUGUGGUAGUUUGCUAUCAAACUCUCGAAAAGGCAAAACAACUUUACUCUGUUUUUUGGAGAACCUUCCUAUAGAGUAACUCGACAGAAACAAAUAUGCGAUCAAGGAUAUAUUCGACAGAUUUUCACGCAAAACAUGGAGAAUAUUUUUUUGCAGGUUCGUUGCUUGCUUUAUUGUUUUCUUACUUUUCGUUCUUCAAGACAAUAUCUUCCUAGCAUUACUCUAUAAAUUUAAAUCCAUCUUUUUGUUCUUUGGAUUAUCAUGGCGUACUCGUCCUGUCUAAUCCAAGAAAGGGCCUUCAUGUUUGCAGAUAGUUUGGUGCUCUCAUGGUUAUUUUGUAGUGAUUUUCCUCCUGUUCAUUACUUGGUAACCAUCUACUGCAGCUCAGCUAUUGUCCAGUUGCUGACCUUAUGAUGAGUGAUUGAUGGUGCAUGUUUUCCUAUUAGUUUCUUUCUAUGCCAAUGUCUGAAUUUUAUCUUGCCGUUUUGCAUUUCUCCAGGCCUUUCAUUCUCACUGUGAUUUCCCGAGUUGCGCUAUUAGUAGGCAUCCAUUUUCUAAUAAAAAUUUGGCAGUCAACUUGAACGAGUCAUUUAUCUAGCUACAGCAACCUUCCUUGCUUUUGUAGUCAACUUGAACUAGUCUAUACCUGCCAAAUAUUUACACUUUAGUAUAGCCACAAAGUCAGAUGAUCGUCCCAUGUUGGUUAGCCGUGAUAAAUCAAAUUUCUAGAGUAGCAGAUGAUUUGUGUCAGGUUUCUUUUAGAGAUUGAAAUAUGUCUUGACUCUAAAAUAAGUAGUACAUCGUCCAGUUCUGCAUAGGUGAAAGCAUAAUAUCUAAAACUGGACGGCCUUCUAAAGCUUUGAAACUACUAUUUGUUGUGUAAUCUGUAUCCCCUUUUCAUACUCUAUAUAUGAUUUCUACAUACUAGGAAAAAAUGCGUGAGAACGAUGGCAUAGAGGAUGCGAAUUGCACUCAAAUAUAUGCAGGUUUCUUGCCAAACUAACUGCCACUAUUUUAUUUCAGGUGCUUCUUCUGUAACUUGGUGUAUUUUGCUGGCUCUUCUCAUUUCCUGGCGAACUUUUUAGUCUGUACAGUCGAAUCGUUGGAAGUUGUUUUCUAUUAUCUAUAGAGGUUUUAUCCAAACUAUUAGCUGCCUGACUUGCUUUUUUGAAAUACACCGUCCUGAUAGACCAAGUGGACCCACAAAUUUCCAUGGGAUUUUAGAAAAAUAUAUGUGAAUUUGCAUACAUUUUAUAAAUUUCUAUCUUUUCUUAUCCAUGCUUCCGCAUAGAUAUAUAGCAGGCUUAACAAAAAUGAAUGUCUGAUUGUGUUCAAAUUUCAAGGAAGUGUGCUUCAUGCUUCUCUUUCUGCAAUAUGUUUCAGAGUAUAUGACUUAAUUUUCCUACUUUCCCAGUUACAAUAAUGUACUUCAUUCUUAGCUUUGCUUUGGGAAAAAUAGGUAUGCAGGUUAUCGAAAGCUCCAUUUUUCUCCAUUAUAUAGAUCAUAUAGCUUUGUGAUCGAAGUAAACCUGAGAAUGGUUUGGAUUGGAACCGCAGUUUCAAUUUGGUUUCUCUAUCGGACGGUCUUUGGAUGGGUUUAAAUGGGCUGAGCCUCUAAUAUAAUCUGGUUUGGUUUGGGCUUUAGGUAUAAUGGAUUAAUCUGGUUCAAUUUGGACACGUAUAAAUCGGUCUCAAACAGUUUCAACUCGGAGAUAGAGACCGGUCUGUCGACCAAAACUGUACGAGACGAACGCCUCCAGCCUCGACGGUCAUUGCCAUGCCAUGCGGGGGCCGCCGGGCCGUCGGCCGUCGCCGCCACCGGCUGGAGCUCCGACUGCCAGCUUAUCUUUCCUCCAGUUUUCUGACCCUUGAAGCUGCCUGAUUUAAUUUUCCUCUAACGUCCCAAGGCUCUAGUCGUCGCCGCCGCCAUCGAGCUCGAGUCUGUCUCCGUCGCCGAGUCGCCGCCGUUGGUUUCGACUUUAGAGUCAUCUCCAUCGCUGCGGGUUUCCGUCUCCUCGUCGAGGUCCAGAGCUCCGCCUACAGGUCCUACCUCCCCGGUGUUUCCUUCACCGCUUCCUGUAGAAAGAUUGCUAGAUGGCUAGAUGCAAUUCAGGCACCUGCGUAUAUGGACUUGUCCACGGUUUCAAUAUAUGGAUUCAGUCCAAAAAUGGCACCGGUUUUGGAUUGGGUUGGGUAAGAAACAACUACAGAUUGGUUUGGUUUGGAUUCAAUAAGAAUUUUGUUGGAUCGGGUUGGUUUGGAUGCUGCCUGUGUAGUCACCUGGUUUGGGCUGGCUUUAGUCUGGAUGAUAAACUAUUCACAGGCUUAGAUCGAAGGUAGGUUGUCACAUAUGGGAUGUUGCUUGUGAAAGUUAUAUACAACCAUGAGUCCCUGACAGAAUAAUCGCAGCUCAUGUUACUAGGAUCAAGGAACCUCGGCCAUUUUUCUGAAACAUGUCGCAGCUCAUGGUCCUACUUUCCCAUCUACACUACUAUGUACUUCAUUCUUACCUUUGCUUUUGGAAGUUACAUUGCUUUCUUUUCCCUCAUAAACUUGCUAACGAUAUUGGCGAAGUAAUCCCCACUUCAGAUUUCCCAUUGAAUAAAUAACCAAUUUAGUUUGUUCAAAAAUUAUAGGUCAAGAUCCAUAAAUAGGAGCAAGGCAUCACACCAGCUCUUAGAAGAAAAGGAUAUGAAGACAAUGAACUAGAAAUCCGGAAUAAUAGGACAAGAGAAAUCUCACCAGUUGAGUAUGCGUCUCUCGCCCAAAUGAGGAGCUGAGGAAGAAACGGGGAUAAAUAAGCAUGAUGGAUGCUGGCGCGACUCCGAACGGGCCACACAAAGAAUUGUUUCUGGACCGAGCUAGGUACACACAAAGAGGGAGAAUUCCGGUAGCUGGAAAUCUGGACCUGAAAAAGC